rnacentral:lncRNA from 1 species
GAGAGACAGACACGCCUCACCCCCACCACAAGAACACCAAAGCCACAUCCCAUCCAUCUCCACGGUGAGGCUUGAGCGAUCCGAGCAAAAAAAAUCAUCCGCGACGCAGCGACGCAGGUUUGUUCUCUGAUCUCUCUGGUUCUUCUUUUAGCAGCAGGGACGCACAACACAAGAAAAGGUCCGGUUCAAGAGGCUCUUCUGUUGGGUUUUUUUAGAAUCCUCAAGAGAAGCGUGUUCUUGGGUUAGGAUUUUUUUCUCACCUCAUAACACCUCUCCUAGGAGGAACAGAGAUCCAGAGAACCUUUUUUCUCUUCUGGAUCCUUGCCGCCUUUUGGCGUUCGAAAGGGGGUUGUUUUGCAAUACCCUCUCUCUGUUUUUUUUUUCUUUCUUGGCACAAACCCACCUCGUUUCUCUACUUUUAUUGAGGAACAGAGCUGGUUUUCCAAAAAAAAAAAUUCUGCUUUGAUUUUCCAUAAAGAAAACCUCUCAGCCUCUUUCUUCUAGCUCCAUCCAAGCUGUAGUCCUAAUGGCCGCAGCCAUCGACAUGUACAAGUACUACAAUACCAGCGCACACCAGAUCCCCUCCUCAUCCCCCUCGGAUCAGGAGCUCGCGAAAGCACUCGAGCCUUUUAUAACGAGUGCUUCCUCCUCUUCAUCCUCCUCCCCCUACCAUGGCUACUCGUCCUCUCCAUCCAUGUCCCAAGAUUCUUACAUGCCUACACCCUCUUACACCAGCUACGCCACCUCGCCUCUUCCCACUCCCGCCGCCGCCUCCUCCUCGCAGCUUCCGCCGCUCUACUCGUCGCCUUAUGCGGCGCCGUGCAUGGCCGGCCAGAUGGGCCUGAACCAGCUCGGCCCGGCCCAGAUCCAGCAGAUCCAGGCCCAGUUCAUGUUCCAGCAGCAGCAGCAGCAGCAGAGGGGCCUGCACGCGGCGUUCCUGGGCCCGCGGGCGCAGCCGAUGAAGCAGUCAGGGUCGCCGUCGCCGCCGCCGCCGCUGGCGCCGGCGCAGUCGAAGCUGUACCGCGGCGUGCGGCAGCGCCACUGGGGCAAGUGGGUGGCGGAGAUCCGGCUCCCGAAGAACCGCACGCGGCUGUGGCUCGGCACCUUCGACACCGCGGAGGACGCGGCGCUCGCCUACGACAAGGCGGCCUUCCGCCUCCGCGGCGACACGGCGCGCCUCAACUUCCCGGCCCUCCGGCGCGGCGGCGCGCACCUCGCCGGCCCGCUGCACGCCUCCGUGGACGCCAAGCUGACCGCCAUCUGCCAGUCCCUGUCGGAGUCCAAGUCCAAGAGCGGCUCGUCCGGCGACGAGUCGGCCGCGUCCCCGCCGGACUCCCCCAAGUGCUCGGCGUCGACGACGGAGGGAGAGGGGGAGGAGGAGUCGGGCUCCGCCGGCUCCCCUCCUCCUCCUCCUCCUCCCCCGACGCUGGCGCCGCCCGUGCCGGAGAUGGCGAAGCUGGACUUCACGGAGGCGCCGUGGGACGAGACGGAGGCCUUCCACCUGCGCAAGUACCCGUCCUGGGAGAUCGACUGGGAUUCCAUCCUGUCAUGAGCAAUAACAGCUCCGUGUAAUUUUCUACUGUUUGGUUUUUGCGGCUGCGUUGGCCCGAUGGCAUUUUAGACGUCGGCCAUGGCGGCUGCAAGUAGCAAGUGAGUAACUAGCUAGCUAGUACAUCGUCGUCGUCCAGUGUUGUGAAGCAGAGUUAAGUACAUGCGUGCUAAUCUCCUGGUUGAGCUGCCGGUUGUUUUUUCUCACGGCACGGCCAGUCGAGAAGAGUCAGUAGUGUAAUCUCGUGGUUUUAUGAUCAUCUGUUGCAGCUUAUGUAUGGAACUUUGUCUAUCUAGUACUAUUUAUUGGUCUUGAACGUGUCGUGAUGAUGAUCUGCGUCUUUGUUGUUCUCACGUCGCAUGUAUGUAUGGUGUGCGCACUUGUGACUUGUCAUCUAAGGCCCUGUUUGGGAACAAAGUUUUUGAAAACUACAGUUUUUGAAAUACUAUACUUUAGUUAUGACAAUACCGUAGCUUAUAAUACCGCAGUUUUGAAAACUGAGGUCCAGAGCUAAGUUUAGAAUGCCUUAAAACAACUAUAGUAUUUGUAAUACUUCAGUUUUGAAAACAGAGAUUUUACCCAGCUUGCCAAACACCAUUAUGUAUAUAAUACUGCAGUAUUUGAGAAUACUGCAGUAUUCUUCCAAAACUGCAGAAAAACUUUGUUCCCAAACACCCCUAAGCUGUUGAGCUGUGGCUUUUGGCUCCUGGUUUUGUUUUGUACUGUAGCUGCAAAGCAGAGAUGAUGCGGCUGGCAGCCGCCUGGUGAAACUAAGCCAAAGAAUUUGAUGUUGCCUGCACAGCAAACCCACAUGGAAAAAAAGUCGACAUGCAGUGCAGUGGUGGUUUGGCGAUGAUCUAGGCGUGACCAGUCAUCAGCUGCCCUUCGUUCGUUCAUCUACCACUACCGCUGCCGGUAUGGAUGCACACGAGUGGUGUCCUAUGGUUUGCGAGACGUUCACAAUCGAGCCCGUCCAUUUGUUUAUUCCAAGGCGGCAAUGCAAUAUGCGGCAGAAGCAUCUGGACAACCGGCCGGCCGUGCCCAUCCAUCAUCAGCCUCAUUUCCGAAAGCUUAUCCCGGCGAAAACGACCGGACGCCCGCGGCGGCCCAGCCAAUCCUUUUUCCUUUGUUCGCGUUCCUUCCACCUCCAGCAACCGGUGGUUGCGCAAGAGAACCGAGAACAGUUGGGGGUAUGUACAACUUGAGACACUAGUUAAAGAGACUACAUAAUAAAAUUUGAGACCAUAUAUUAUAUAUGCAGCGUAUGUAUAAAAAAUCGUGAACUCGUCUCUUUAUUUUUCACUAAGCCUCUCCGAGACUCCUCGAGAAAAUCCAUAUUAAAUGAGGUUGCCCUUUGUUCACACGAAAGAAAGCAAACGUUUUCUGUAUUCGUGCAGAGAUCAUUUCGAAUCGCACUCGCUUUCAACUGAAGGCGCAGCGCAGCCAAGUCCGGAGGGCAUAGGAUGCGUUCACAUCGCCCGAAUCUGCCGUAGCCCCACCGGCAAAUUAUAUUGCUGUAAUAGCUGCGGCCGCCAAUUAUUUGGCUCGCUCUAUGGUAAUGGCACCGGAUUUUGAUUUCUUGGCCGCUUUGAUAGUGGAUGGAUGGAAGGAAGGAAGGUGUGAUGUGGUUGUUCACAAAUUUAAAGUGACGGCAGUUACUGUCACUUGUAAUAAGUCCUUGGCGAAGAAUGGAAUAACCUACAGGGCAUGCAAACGAGGCGUGCUGAGUUUAGCAGGAAGCAGGCACUGCGUUAGAAGACGUUUCAUACACUAAAGGUAAUAGUGAGGGAAGUCCAAUAGUUAGUUGACUAAAAAAUUGUUCCAAGAGAGGCUCUAAAUAUGGUUCUAUUUUACAUAUAUGGCUCAAAACCAUAAAACAUUCUUCCAACAGCGGACCUAUUUUAUAAAAUUUCAUCAAAUGGUUAUAGGGCUCAGUCUCUCGGGUCGUAAAUAUAGUACCCAUAUACUGGAGCCCUAUCCUCAUUUCCACUUAAUCUCCAACCAUUUAUUUCCUAAUAUUAUGAUUUAUUUCCUUAAUAGCAUUAUUUAAGGCCUGACUAUUGGAGUAAACAUUUCUUUUGAGACCCUAAACAUUCUAAAUAUGGUCCUAUUUCAAAUUUUAGGACUCUAUUUUAGGGUUCGUUGUUGGAGAUGCUCUAACUAGCUAACUAUUGACUAAUCUAUUAAAAAUAAUUAAUAGUUAAACUAGUAGAUAUGAUGUUUAGAUGUCUAUAAUUAAUUUUAGUCCGUAACUAUUAGCUUUAUUACCUCUAAACAUCACCGAAGAGUUAUACCCACCACCAACUAAAGUCCGGUUAGGUUGAACUGCCACGCCACGCAGGCACGCACGACACGACGUUAGUGUUAGUUCUCCUCCGGCAGCUCUUGCCUGUCCUGUCCAGCGCAGCGCAGCACAGCACAGCGGCGCGCGCCACGUUUGGUGGCUUCCGCUAGCUCACGUUUGGUGCGCCAUCGUCUCCAUCGCCAGCGUGACCGCGCCCACACGCCCUUCCUGGACGAGCCGCCGGCCCAUGUGCGCUCCCGCGAACAGCAGCCACGCCCACGCCUUCUGGGCCACGCGCUCCAGCUCCUGUCCGCUCUAUAUGGCGCCGGAAAAACCGGAUGGCCCAGGCCAAAUUUUUUGUUCAACCGGCGCCACUAACAGGGAGCCUUGCUACGAAAUUCAAGCCAGGUGGGCUGGAAUACCGGCCCAGACUGAAAUACUUACCCUUUUUCUUUACCUUUUCACCUCUUCUCCUCAUGACAUAUGCAAACUCUUGCCAAAAGCACUAAAAAUGUAGCACUUGGAUCAGCUUUCCAUAAAUAUAUCUCUCUCUCUAGGUUUUCUCAAACACCUCACCACGUCACUAAGCACAAUGCAUAUGCAAAAGAGACUCAUAUUUAAUGGGACUAGAUUAUCCCAAGUCCCAAUUAAAAGAUUUCUUCUCCUUAUAGUAUGUUUAUCUAUCCUAAACUCGGUCGAGCACUUCUCUACACACCAUUCGACCAUUUAGAGACGAAGCCAGCCGACGGAUGCACCGGUGUCAGCUCUAUACUAGGCAUAAAUGUUAAUUCUAUAGUUGAACAGUUCAUAUCAAACAUUUCUAGUUGAUUUUGUGAAAAUCGACGGUGUCAGCUGACACCAGUGAGUAGCCCUAGCUCUGCCCCUGCGACCAUUGAAAUGAAAUAACAUAUAAGUUAUAUCUUUGCCUUGUGUAUUCCAUUUUAUCUACUCCAGCUGUGAGCCUGUGAUGCACACAUAUUCACACUUACCGAACCAACAGAAAAACACAUAUUUUAUAUAUUAUAUACUCAAGUAUAUAUACUUUUGUUAAAAAUAGAGAAAAAAAAAUAAAACCGGUUUGUACCGGGUCUAGCCCCACCAUGCAGCCCCUAAGGCCUAGGUAUAUGACAUUGUGAUCGGGUUGGGCCGGCAUGGCCCUAGUGGAUAACAGGACAAGUCGUCCUCGGCCUGUGCUAAACUGUUCGUAAUUAGAUGCCCAGGCGCCAGCGUAGCCCCAAAUUUAUAUUCUUGUCAGAAACUAUGGUCAUCGUGCUAAGCAACUUAGAUGGAGUUUAGGCUUAAAAAGGUGAGUGUUCAAUCUAGUAGUAAACUAGUAGUGAUGGUUGAAGUGGCGGCUUAGCCCUUUUUUGGGAUGAUAAUGCAUUGGUGAUCGGUAUAUUGAUGUGCCAGUGUUAGGUAUAUUGAUGUGUCGGUGUCUAUAUAUAUCCAAAUUCUUUUUACUUGGCGCGUGACUUUGUUUGAUGGUGAGCCACGGGAAGAAAAUCGACAGCGCAUGUGGGAUACUUUGCAGAGUUGGAAAGCCCGGGUCCAGAGAGUCAUGCUGGUUUACUACUGGGUAUUUUAAUGAGACUCUUUGGCAAUUUCAGCAUUUUUCAGCCACUAGAAGAGGGGAGAAACAAAUAAUGGAAGCUUUCAGGGAAACUUUAAAUUUCUGUGACUUGCACGAUAUUGGUUUUAUAUGCUUUGCCAUGGAUCUACGACAAUUGUCAGCAUGGGGUUCAUAAUGUUAGAGUGGUACGGUGCUGGAUAGAGGUGUCGGGUCCGAAGCCAGAGCUGGAUGGGUUUGUUUCGUAAAGGUACGGGUGACUCAGUUUGGACUUGCCCUGACCAUUGGCCUCUAUUGCUGCAGACAUCGCAGGUUGCGGCUGCUGAUGGGCGCCAGAAAAAACGUGUCUUUUACGAGAUCAUGUGCGAGAACAGGAGCCUUCCAUUGAUGAACGAGUACAGGGUACCUGGGGAUGGUCUCAGCUGUACUCCCCGCGAGUAAAAAGAGAUGGACUGAUGGAGUAAAAAGAAGUUCAGCUCAGUACUGUGACAAGUGUGAUGAGUGAUGACCAAGGGGAGUAGUGCACGGAUAAUGCAGGUAUGGCAAAUAUUCAUCUAGAAGAUGAACGGAGAUACAUGCAAGCCUCUUCGGCAAAACCCAGAUUGGUUAUAGGCCUUCGCGGAAGGAUUAUUGGAAAAUUAUAUUCAGGUGGUGGGAUGACCAUAAACAAUGGGGUUAGCGACGCAACAGAAUAAACGUCACAGGAACCUGUUCAUCAGAUGAGGAACAGCUCCUAAGCGUGGACAGCUAGCUUGCUUUUCUUGUGCACACAUGCUAGUCUUCUUUACUGUUCUACGACUGCAGCAGCCGCUGCGAGCGAGACGAGAAAUGCAUUGCGGCCGGUCGGACUGACCUGCAAGCUGAUGCCUAGAUCGAUAUCAAUUCGGUAACUAAAGUCGAACUAGGAUCCUACUCACCAGACCAAGAAAUACAAAGCGCAUUUGUUCUGGCCGUUUUGUUUUUGGGGUAAAAAAAAGACGCUUUUCAUCUGCUGGUGCAAACUAAAGAAGGAAAAAAAAGGCAGCAACAAAUAAAAAGCAGGAAAGACGCUGAUGGGUACUUUGGUGGGGGACGCGGAAAGCGGCCGCGUAGUUUUUACACGACGAUGGUUUUGCCAUCCCCAAGCUUUUUCUCUCUCUCCCUCUUUUCCCCCCGGCCCGCCGCGCACUAGCGAGCUCGGCCCGAUCGCGACGGGCCUGAAAAAUCUCUGGUGCCGACCGAGCCCACGAGCAGAUAAAAAAAAUUCAUUUCGAACUUUCCAUCUGAAAUACGCAUGGCGCGCAGCAAUUAAUGUUUGCGAGCUGACUGACAUGACAGCAACCGUUCAUCAGGUAAUGAUAUUUCUACGCAUUUUUAUAGACGAGCAGUCUGACCUACCUAUCCCCCCAUCUUUCCGACCAUGAACACGACGAUUUAACUAAUUAUAUGCUGUACGUGUCGCUGCAACUGCAAGUACGCGCACGGAAAGCCGGCGGCUCGUCGAGUCCAUCACGAUGGAAAAGUAUAUUUGGUAGCAGCAGUUGCUCGGUUUGUUGUUCCGACUGGCUGUUGUUAUUGUUGUUGUUGCUGCUGCUGCCACCAAGAACGAUGAUGCGGGGUGUGUUUUUCCGUUUAUUAAUUUGGCUGCAUCUUUUAGUGAAGAGCAUCAGGCAAAUCAACAGCGUAAAAGCUAGAGCAGAUACCGGCCAAUGAAAGCCGCUGGUGCCCGACUUAGGUCUCAGAGAAUUAUAUGUUAGGGGGUGUUUGGUUAUGUGGACUAAAGUUUAGCCCGGGUCACAUCAAACGCCUCCAAACACCCCCUUAGUUGACCCUCCUUCUCUUCUUUUUUUAAGUUGCUACGCUGCACUUGACAGCGUGAUCGAACAGCUAGCUAGCGCCUGACGACAGCGGGAAGAAUCUGAAUGGGCGGUUCCUAACAUGUGAGUCAGAACUCAGAAGCAGGGUCCUAGGCAUAUAAUUGGUAUGUACGAUUAAGCUUAGGGCAUAUACAAUGGGUGUGUUGAGUUGUGUCUUUAAACAGAUGCAAAUUUAUAUCCUUGAUGGUUUUGGUUAUGCAAUCAGUGUCGUCCCAGACCCUCCAGAAAUACAGAAAAGCAACGAGCUGCGGAGUAUAUAAGGGUCGAAUAAUUUCUUCUUCUUUAACAAGUCGUCGGUUCCUAACAUGUGAAGCCGCCUAGCUGCGUGGGGCAUAGUUAUAUAUGCAGCGGAAUCAUGUAUUUUAUAUAACACCAUCUUUGUUUCGUCCAUAACAAGUUUAAUUCCUAAGGAAAAAAAGACGAAAAUUAGAGGAAAACCUCUAAUUUGAACAAGAGAAGUAAUAAGGCCGCGUCAAGCAGUCUUUCUCUCUCUCAAGAACUCGAACGGACGGCGACAAACACAAUUAACUACUACUGCCACAUCGUGCAGAGUGUACUUGCACACGACAUUUCCCUUCUUGUUGGACAAGUGUCUAGGUUCGAUGAAUUUACAUAACCGCGCGCCUCGAACACUGUUCUCUCUCCAUCUAUCCGGGUUGUUCUUACACAGACCCUACUUAUCAAUAGGCCAACAAGUCUAUCAUCUUAAUGAUUCAAUGCUCUGAUCAUUUCAUGUGUGCACAUGAGAGAUCUGGCAAAUGGGCAAGGAAUGCUAAACAUAACAUGGCAUAGCACACGUCAUUUCUAAAAUAAAUCGACUAUAGUAACAGAUCCCCCCAAUCCAGUAUUGUGCAGCCGGGACUAAACACUCUACUCUGUAGUUCAAAAUGCAUGUCCUAGUACCGAAAACGGCGCUUUAAUUAGUAUUGUUUUUUUGUGAGCACCAGUAGUAAAGGUUCCUUUUUAAUACUAGUUCAUAUGGCAUGAAUCGGUACUAAGAUGUGAUGUUCCUCUGGACCGGUUCUAACCACAAAAGGUACUGAAAGUCUAUUUUAGUAACGGUUCUUUUAAGGACCACUACCAAAUUGGAUUUAUAAAUAUGUACAUUAACUAAUAUGCGUACAAACAGAUGUAGCAAGCUCUUUCCAAAGAAAUAUAUUUACAAAUAGUAGCAAUAGUUUUUUUAAGAGUACUAGUAAGACGUCUAUACAUUGCUACAGUAUCGAAACACUGUUUUUAUGUUUUAUUGGACAGUGUUGAAACAGUGGCCGAAAUCCAAAGGUUUCCAUUCAGCCCCAAGCCCCCAACGCGUUUCUUCGUCCUUCGAGAUGGGUAGAACGAAUAGUGCAUGCGGUCUCGUGUUAUGCACAUCAGCACAUGUAGAUGUAGACUUGCUUUUUCCCUUCGCCCUCGCCCAGUUGCCGUUGCGUGCUACGGAACAAAACAAUACGGCAGGGGAGCAGGGCCAUCACGCACCAAUGCCACUGCGGCGACCACCCCGGCCCAGAAGUCGGCUCCACUCCGGAUCCUACGUGGCAUGCCAUCUGGGCCCACUCCCGCGCUAUAAAAGUACCCCGCACUCCUCCCACCCGCAUCGACCCACAUCUGAAGCCCUGUCCUGAGAAGCCCGCACAGUCCUCCCAAGUCAAGGCUCGCUGCGUUUGUCCCGUCCGUCCAUUUGCUUCGUGCUGCACUGCUGCGACGGGACGAUCGAGAAAGUCGCCGGAUUUGCCUCCCACGAACCUGCUGCCUGGGCUAGGCCGCUGGAGAAGCGAAGCACAUGACGAACCAGCAGGACGUGGUCGUGUCCGAGAUGGGCAUUGCGGCCGGAGCCGCGCUGCCGGGCCCCAGCCCGGCCCUCCUUGCCUGCCGGGGCGCGGCCGCCGGCGCAAUGUCCCUGCGGUACCUCGACCUGGCAGCGGCGGCCGCGCGCUCGGCCAGCGGCACCUGGGCCGACGCCAUGCGCGCCUCCUCGCCCACCCGCUCCCGCGCCGCCGACGAGUUCACGGCCUGGGUGGUGAGUCUUCUUUGCCGCGCGCGCGUGCGCUCGUCUUCCUGACACGCGUCGGGAGCUUGCACGCGCACGCGUGCAUGUUUUUUUUGCCUCGAGGUACGAUGCUGACCCUGUCUGCUUGGCCUCUCCUGCUGCAGAGGAAGCACCCGUCGGCGCUGGGGAAGUUCGAGCAGAUCGCCAGCGCGUCCAAGGGGAAGAAGGUCGUCAUGUUCCUAGACUACGACGGCACGCUCUCCCCCAUCGUCGCCGACCCCGACGCCGCCUACAUGAGCGACGCGGUGAGGCUUCUCGUGCUGCUCGAUCGACCACGGUCCCCGGCGCAUACAACCUUCCAUGCCGUCCGGCCGGGCAAAAGUAGCUCUCACUCGACUGACGUCCCCCCCUCCCCUCAUCUUGCGCAGAUGAGAGCGGCGGUGCGCGACGUAGCGAAGCACUUCCCGACGUCGAUCGUGAGCGGGCGCUGCCGCGACAAGGUACAUUGCCUGCGCCACUACUCGUCUCAGCAGCCAGUCGUCAGCACCGCAGAGGCGCAGACACUUGAGAAAAGCUCGCACGCGCGUGCAGCAUGUGCACACAUACAUACACACCAUUGGCUGAUUUGGCUUUCUUCUUCGUUGUCGCGCGCGCGCGCGCGCUGCUCAGGUGCGCAACUUCGUCGCCCUCUCGGAGCUCUACUACGCCGGCAGCCAUGGCAUGGACAUCAAGGGACCAAGCUCCAAUGUGCGGUUUCUAGCUCUCCUCACUUUCAUCUCCUCCUUGAGAGUUCGUCCGAGCUAGACUACCGAUCAUUCUCAUCCCUCUGCACUCCAUGCAUGAUGACUUUGGCUGAUCAAUCAAAUCUUCCCCUCUCAUUCCUACCUCUGCAGCCCGAGUCAGUUCUGUGCCAACCAGCAAGCGAGUUCCUCCCGGUGAUGGACGAGGUACGCUGCUAAUUAAAGUCGAUUAGAAGAACACUACUUGCCUGCAGUCCACCUGCGCUUAGCUUGUGAAGUCCACUGUCCACCCGAUGCAAGAGGAGAUUUAACAAUAAUGGCCAUGCGCGCGCGCGCGGUGACUCCCAUCUCUGUCAGGUGUACAAGGCGCUGGUGGAAAAGACCAAGUCCACACCUGGCGCCAAGGUGGAGCACAACAAGUUCUGCCUGUCCGUGCACUUCAGAUGUGUAGAUGAAAAGGUAGGCAACGCCUUACUCCGACGAUCCAUCCCGGCCGUAGAUGAAAAUAAAGUUUGCAUCGAUCACGUACGCGCGGCUAAUUUAUUCUGAAAAAAAACAAGGAAUUUGUCGUAGCUAACCACCGCCUCCAUACCUUAUAUAUCUUCCUUCCCUGCAGAGAUGGAAUGGUCUGGCGGAGCAGGUGAAGGCGGUGACCAAGGACUAUCCCAAGCUGAAGCUCACUCAUGGGAGGAAGGUAACUAGACAGACUUGACCGGAACACGCAUAUACAAACGCAGUGCAGCUGAUUGACUGUCCUUGUCCUUGCCUGACGAUAAUAGCAGUACUGCUAGUGAUCAGUAGUGAAGAAACUGAGCAAGACUGAUGGAAACUUUGGUGUGCGCAUCAGGUUCUGGAGAUCCGCCCGAGCAUCAUGUGGGACAAGGGCAAGGCGUUGGAGUUCCUGCUCGAAUCGCUCGGUACGUGCAUCGCGACAAUGCAGCCAACAGACUUCCCUCCCGCCUUCUUCUUCCGUAUUUCCCCUGGCGCGCGCGCGGGAUAUCGUCUUGUCUCCGUCCGUGUGUCGUCCACAGUCGCUUUCGCCUGCAGUUUUUGUAUUCAGUACUUGCGUAUCACACCCCCUGCUGCAUGCCCAAAAACAAAUGGCAGCUGAUGGAUGGAUGGAUGGAUGGAUGGAUGACACGCCGCCUACGUUUCCGCUGUCUCUCUCUCUCCAGGAUUCGCCAACCGCAGCGACGUCCUCCCGGUGUACAUCGGCGACGACCGCACCGACGAGGAUGCUUUCAAGGUGCUGAGGAAGAGGGGCCAAGGCAUCGGGAUCCUCGUGUCCAAGUGCCCCAAGGAGACGAACGCCUCCUACUCCCUGCAGGACCCCGGCGAGGUCAUGGACUUCCUGCUCCGUCUCGUGGAUUGGAAGCGGAAAUCAUCGGCGGCCCCGAUGGUUCGGCCGCGGGUGUAGCUCGGCAGCCCGGAGGUCGACUACUCGAUCGAUGGAAUCGGUGUCCAAUCAUGCGAACAUACCCGACCACGACCAUUUUUCCUCUCUCUCUCUCUCUCUCUCUAGCUUGUGUGGUGGCCUCGGAAACCGACCUGUGGUGGUUGCUGCAUUACAUGUUCUUCGAUUCCCUGACCACUGUGUGCUGCCUACGCCACCGAGGAAAAAGAGAGGCCACACACAAAGCACAACGUCGCUGAAAAUGUGUUUGGGCAUGUUGGCACUACUGUCGAAUACAGUAACCGUGUCUACUCCAAGGCAGUGUACUACCCCGGCCCCUCCUCCAAUUGUCGCGUUAUUAUUUUUGUCCCUCUUCCCCCAAUGGGUCUGGAACUGGAAGGCAUCUGCAAAUUAAGCUACCUGCCGUCCUAGAAGAACCAACCAACAGAGAAGGUUCUUCACUUGACUUCACCCCCAUCAUCAUGUAACUAGCUAGUACGUCUAGAGGGCCCGGCACUGUUCAUGCGUACUUACCCUCUGUAAAAUCUAGUGGAUGAAAGUAAGAUCCAGGUAACGGAAUUACAUUACGUCUGCAAAUUGUUCCGUACCUCGAUCCUAUAGGUGCAGCACUGCAGCUAUAUGCAUCAUAUGCCUCUCGCAUGAUCUGCCUGCCGUCUCCAACUGCCACUUCUUACCGUGACAAAUUAAUGCUAUCUCCAUAACAAAUAUUACUUAGAUGAUACAUACAGUCAUGUGUGAGCUCAGCUGAUUCGUGUCGAGCAGCUGCGAUCACUGGGGUGGUACGAACACGCCUGAUAUUAAUAUUAUACGGCGAGCUCCUGAAUAGUUUUUGGGAGUGUACUGUACGAUGGGGACAGCUCAUUAUUGAGAUGGCGAUCGGAGCGCGCAUAUAAAUAGCAGGUCUACACGGCCCCUAUACUAAACUCACGCUGUGGAUCCCGUAUACGUGAUUCCUUCAGAUGGCAUACAAUAGGCCGGCUCGCUCGUCUCCUCCGAUCCUACAACUGUGCCGUGGUCCCUGCUGAUGAAUUAAUGUGGAUGAUGCUAGUAUUUUAUGGCGCAUCUUCGAAUAUUAAGUACGUACUGUACUGUGGAGUAGUAAGUUCUUGAGAUACGAUCAGGAUUCGCUGCUGCCCCGGUAACGUAAGUGCCUGGAAUUAGGCGGCAUACUCGAUCGAGAUCUAACCAUUAACAAUCUAGCUAUGUGGAGUUCGUGGCCUUGAUCAGGCCGCCAAACCCUCCUUAUCUGAAGAUGAGUCAUUAGGCAGCCUCCUAUAUAUAUUAUUAAUCCCCGGUAGACGCAUAGAUUAUUAAGGAACCAGUGAGUAAUUAAGUGACAGAAGCCUUAGCUUCUCGUGUUCUCUCAUUCAUGCGCCCUGUCCGAUCCUGCUGUCCAGAUAUGACGAUUCCUCGCAAUGAUUCGACGCAUAUUCUCGAUCACGUGAUCGCAUGGUGGCGUGUACAGCACACUUCUAGAGCUCAUGUUCUAGUGCUCAAAAAAGCCAAUGAGCACUGCUUAAAAUGGAGAGAAUAUGUAAGGGCGACAGGGAGAUAGAGAGACUGCUUCCGCGCAGCCCGGCGCCUCUCUCUCGCCGGCGGAUCGGAGGUUCCAUGCCACGAGCCCCUACUUACAGCCGGACGGCGCGAAGGGGUUCGUUAUGCUGUUUUAUGAAUUAUGUCAUUCUUUAUUUAUGGUUUAUAAAUUAAGUAAUUUGUAUUUAUUUUAAUAAACUAUAUAAUUUUUUGUUUGCUUAGUUAUAUGUGCCUCCUGCCACAAGGAAGGUAUAUUUUUUCUUUAAGUGUUGGCUAGCCUGGUCAGUCUGGGAGUGUGUUACAAAUUGCCACUUAAAUCAAUCAACCACAAAACAUACACUAUUCGUCUGAUUGGAUGCCUAUGUCUGGACGCGCUGGCUCGGGUGGCCCUGGCUGACCUGAUACGUCAGUUUUCUGGGUACGAGUGGAUGCAACCAAAUGGCUAUAAAAUGGCUUCUUUUGCAUCCGCUCAUGCAGUAUGCGUCUCUCUUGUGCAGACAACCAAACAGGAGCUUAGACAGAGUCAAUGCAUAUGGUGGUCCAAGACGAGACGGUGCGAGUAACCAAACAUAUCAUAUAUGUUUAGAGAUUGGCUUUAGGGUUUUAAUAGAGCGUCAAAACACGUGUUUCAGUGUUUAUAUUUGGAGAAACAAAAAAAACUCUUUUAUUCUUCUUCGUAGGUUAUUCAUUUAGCGACACAGUGGCUUUCAAAUUGGUUUAUCCUCCAGCGAGAGGAGGCGCGACCGUUGGACGUGGCACGGUCGCGGCUCUUGGUGCGAACAACCAUGACAUUUUUCCCCGGGCGCAUAGGUGGCACUAUAGUCUUCGGAUUGAUUGUCGCUAGCUUUGGCAUGGUGAUGUGUUCCUUUUUUUAGUCCUUUAGGUUGGCUAUGUGCAUUGAGCAGAGACCAAAAGUUUGUAUAAAAGACUUUGUAUCCUCUUAACGUAACGCUCUUGGUAACCUUUUAUAAAGCUUCAUUCAUCGAAAAACUGAAUUUUUAUUUUUGAUAAAACGCCGUGCUCCAUUUCAAAUAAGAGUGUAAAAAAGCUGACGUGACGCUGAGAUGGUUGUAAGUUGAUGGUUGCGGUAGUUGUCGACCGGUGAUGGUAGAUACAUAGAUCGGACGAAAGCUAAUGUGGUGAUAGAUAUAGCCUAGUGGCAUUGGAUCCAACCUUAUACUUGUUACCUUGUUUAAAAAAAAGCAGAAUGUCAUCCUCCUCAUUUUUUUUUAAAAAAAUAUGCUGCUCAAAAUGUUGAUCGGUCUUUAUCAGACACCGUACGCCCGCAUGGUGGCCAACUGGCCAAGAGUUGACUGCUCGGGCGGACCACCAAUUAUCAGCCGUCAUAUGCGUGUUUUGAAUUUUUAUUAUCGCCCCGAAAGAAGUCUUCCUAGCUAUGGCAUAAAAGGAGUAACUGGCUCUAAUUGCUGCUGCAGAUAUGGAAGCAUUGCCAGUCACACACAAUAAUGCAGUUCCCCUGGACUGAUGCUAGGUAGGGGUGGCUUCUUGUUCUAGGUUGGCCCUCUUUGGCUGUUUCCUGCAUGCAUACAGCACUGCUGGAGUCUGCGUCAGGCUUUUAGUAGCUACAUACAUUACCCUGAUGAAAUGUAUAUGACAUGGGCUUCUGUUUGAUACUAGAAGCAACUUUAAAAAUGAACCAUGCCUGCACUGCGGAGCGCAGAGACAGGGAUAGUAGUUAUUCACUCUCCAAAACAAGGGGCCGGCCGGAAGCAGAAGCACACUGCAAUGCGCGCGCGUCGUCCCCGGCAAUCCCUCCUCCCCUUCGCUGUGUGGUCCGAAACGAUGGGAUGUUUGUUUCGGCUUCUGGCAGCUUCUAGCCACCAGAAACUGCUACGGACUGCUAAACGGUCAGCUUUUUAGCCAGCUUGUAUAAAAUUCGUUAGGGCAAAAACCAUCCAAAAUCAACAUCUCUACUACUCUUAAGAUGCUACUGUAGGCGUCCACAUAUUAAUUUGGUGCACGGUUCUGCCCACCAAGCGCCCCCUCUGCUCCCCGCCAUCAACGCGACGACGAGCGCCAUCAACGCCGAGCCUGCGAUCCGGGGCCCUAGCUGCGCGGCCGCCAUCAACGCAAGAGAUCCUCGAUCCGCCAUCUACGCUCCCCGCUAUCAAAGCUCCUCGAUCUCUGCUCCCCGCCGUCAACGCGGCCACCCCGCUCACCUUCCAUCGACGGGGCCGCCCCGCUCACCUUCCAUUGAUGGGGCCGCCCCACCCACCGCCAUCCCUGCUCCCCGCCAUCAAACCGACGCCGAUGGUGGUAGCCCGGAUGGUGCGGCCGCCCCGCUCACCUUCCGUUGACGGGCGCUAAACCUAGAUCCCCUUCCACCGAUCUCGUGCUCACCUUCCAUGUUCGCGGCCGUCCCGCUCCCCUUCCGUUCUCAUUCUCACGCCCCGAUCUAUCGAUGGAAGUGUUGAUGGUCCGUGGCCGCCCACGCAAUCAACGCUAUGGUGGAUGGCAGGAUCGGCUUGAGGUCGACGCGGGAUUUGGACGAGGCGCUGCUGCUUUGGGAGCACAACCAGAAACUAGCGGAAGCGUCGUCAUCAGCAAUUCAGCAUCGGCGCCACUGCUGUCCGCCGCAGGGGUGCCCGGUACGCUCCCCGACCGCGUCCGCCUCGCCACCAUCCCCAACGUCAUCCCCUCCGAGAGGGUCCGCGGUGCCGACUUCUCAGGCUUCGUCGAGGCCGUGCAUAUCAAGAUGGUGGCGCCCGUCGAGCGGCUGCUGGACCGGCUGUCCUGGAGCGGAAGCCGAACGCCAUCGUGGCCGACACCUUCCUAGCUUGGGGCAUUGGGGUUGGAUUUGCGCGGGGGAUACCAGUGUGCUCGCUGUGGACGCAACCGGCCACGUUCUUCUUGGCGCUCUGGCACCUGGACCGAUGGCCGCCGGUGGAUGGUCAGGCCGUCCGCCUCGCCACCAUCCCCAACGUCAUCCCCUCCGAGAGGGUCCGCGGCACCGACUUCGCAGGCUUCUUCGAGGCCGUGCAUAUCAAGAUGGUGGCGCCCGUCGAGCGGCUGUUGGACUGGUUGUCCCUGGAGCAGAAGCCGGACGCCAUCGUGGCCGACACCUUCCUGGCUUGGGGCAUUGGGGUUGGAUCUGCGCGGGGGAUACCGGUGUGCUCGCUGUGGACGCAACCGGCCACGUUCUUCUUGGCGCUCUGGCACCUGGACCGAUGGCCGACAGUGGAUGGUCAGGAUGUAUGUUUCUUUGGGGAAAAUACUGCUUUUGCUUGCAGCUCAUGGGCAAUAAAGAAAUGCAUGUCCUCAUAAAUCAUGAAUGGUAAUUAACCACAAAUUUCUUGAUGUUAAACAUGAUGACCAUGUUUUUUUCACUUCCUGUAAUCUUGCUCUUUGUAGGUGGAUCAAGUGCAUCAUGCCUUAGGGGAAGCCCCUUGGAGGCUUGGACAAGCCUCGGCGGGCGUGGCAUGCUCUUCUUUGUUCAUCAUGGACACUGAGGCUACGCCAAUGGAUUCGAGAAGGUCAAGCACUGGAAACCAAUGGCGAAGGUAGUGCUUGGUGUAUAGUAGGGGCGAAACAAGAGCACAUUAUGAAUAAAGAAAAUCAAUAGAUUAUUUUCGGUUCUAUUUUCUGUUAUUAUCGUUCGAUAGUUUGUUGCAUUUGAUUUUAACCAUGUGUGUACUUAUCUGCGAUAAAUUAAUUGUUAUAGUUAACCAAAUUACCCAAUGUUUUCAUGACUAUCGUUGCCUCCUGAUUACAGGACAAGCUUGCAAAUAACAUCACUACACAGCAGGGGAAGACGUUGAAAGAUGCUUGGGGUGACGUGUUCUGGAGCCUAGGUUACUUCCCAGAUUAUUGAAAGCACACACUUUGUUUUCUUAUCUGGAUAGACAACUAGAGUAAUUAUCUUAAAGUUUCUGUAUCGCCCAAAAGAAAAUUUCAAUCAUCACUUUAAUUCAGACCUUAGUUUUGCAACAAUAGGCACAUAAACUUUGCUUUCUCAUAUAUGCUCAUAAUUAUUUGUGUAGCUUUACAUGUGGUCUCAUGAUUUCCAUAUAUAGAUUCCAUGAGAUGUCAAUAUUACUGAUGAAUUAUUUAUUUUAGCCCCCAAUACUCUGCUCAUAUGCUCCAAAUGUUGACCUUUUUGUGAUAGAACUCUUUCUUAUGUUGAUCAAUUAUUGUACCACUUUGGUUUUGAACUCCAUAUCAUACAGAGGUGGAGCAUGCUUGUGGAAUGGGAACAUUGCAAAUGGGCGAAUAUGAAUCAAAUGUUUCUAAUGGGAACGACACCUUCAUCAUUCGGGAGCCACUUGGUGUUUGCGCUGGGACAUGCCCAUUUAAUUUUCCUGCUAUGAUUCCGCUAUGGGUAUGCCUAAACUAACCUUUUCUUCCCAGUCAGUUUGUUUGUAAUAGAAGCCUUGGCACCAAUGGUCAUUUGAACUAUGUGACAGUUAUACCAUUGCAUUCUUACUUCAACAUGACCUGUGUUGUUUUCAUGAGCAUAAUAUUCUAGACACUUUCAUUAUUUCUGCUGCUAUUUUCCAUUGAAAAUUUUCAGCUAGGGAGAAUAUAUUUGGUCACUUUGAAUGAUUUUUAUUUCCAAUGGUCAACAUAUUUCUAUAGCAGUUACGUGUGGCAACAUUAGCAUCUACAAUACCAAAUAAAUGCACUUGACAUGUGGGUGGCUUUAAAUAUUGUGGGCUCUUUUCUAAUAACAUGGCCUACACUUGCUUAGCCUGGGCAACAACAGCCUCAUGGGUACAUUCUCGGACAUGUCAGCGCUCCCCGUGCUAAGGUUCUUCCUCGUUUUGAUGCCUUACUGGUUACAUUCUAGAGCAUUUUCUGAGCCACACCUGUUCUUCCUAGCCGCUACCCAGAAGAACAAUGUUUAAAUUACAAACAAAUGACAAAAAUCUUUUAUUGGGUAUCUUUUCAACGUUGGAUCAGAUUCUAUUAGUUGGUUUUAUCUUGUAUGUACUCUUGAAAAAUGUUGCGGUAUCAUUUUGUGCUUUAGUUAGUAUCGAGACACUGAAACUAAAAUGCUCUUUUGUGAUCCGUUUGUCAUAUUACAAUUUAUUACCAUACUUGACAUACCAGGUACCAGUUUGACCGUCACUGUUUAUAAUUGAUAUCCAUAGCUGAAAGCCUGAAACUAAGAAUAUAAGAAGAUAAGAACGUAGCUCCCACUGGCUCUCGAGGUCUGUUUCAGUUAUGCAAGUUCUGAAGGCAUAGGAAAAUAUUUUUUAUUCAUAAUUAAUAGAAUUACAGUUAAAAGUGCUUUUCCCACUGGCUUGUGUAUGGUAGAUGAGCAUCUUCACUUUUGUUGGUGUUAAAUGCAGCCCACUGUAUAGCUGCUAUUGAGGUAUAGAGCUGGUAUAGUUUCUAUUUGGCCGAUACUUGUCUUUAUAAUUCAUGUACAGUAAGAAUUGCAACCUCAUAAUAUGACCAAAUUUCUGAUUUGCUCUACAAAGUUGUUGUGUCCAAUUUUGAAUAUGUCUUUCUGGCUCAGGAUUCUAUGUGCAUGUUAUUAUACUUUAGAGGCUUUGAUGAAACAAAAUCCUAGAAGACAUCUCAACCACCACACUUGUUGGCUUUUGUCCAUUGCUGCAGCGACCAAGAUCUUCAUUUGAAAUUAAUACCAGGGAGCCGAUGCUAGAGUUCGUGAUCGCUAUGUGGAUCGCAGUGCACGGAAUAGCCGGAGCUGCUCAUAUCUUCUACUAUUAUAGAAGAAUAUAUAUUGCUAAUUUGUUAUCUACUGACAUCAUAAUCUUGUUUUGAUUGGUGCAAUGUAGUUUUGAAAAGCUAUAUUUUCAGUUCUUCCUUAUAUGAGCUGCCAUUUGCGAGGUUUCUCCUGAAGGACCAUGUUGGAGCCCAACCAACCACUUGAAGAACAUCACCUCUCCGUUGAAUUUGAGCAAGUUUGCGGUCCUUUCUUUAAGCUUGUGUAUGUAAGGAAAUCAAAUCACUGUAGAGCAGUUAACAAUAUCAUAUGUAAGAACUAUUGUAGAUAUAUGUUUUAUAUAAUUGCAAAUUAUUCUCUAAGAAAUAAAACUACUGUCUUUCUUCUUUUGGAAUCAGUUUAAAGUGGAAUACUCCACUGAAUGUCCAGAUCCAUAAUCAUAUUUGGGUGACUGCUACAGCUAAUCUAAAUAAUGAUAGUAAAGGGAAGCCAUGGGAGAAUGUUGCUUAUGACCACUCUUGCUUUUCUAUUUGUUUUUUUCUACCUAAUAAAUUUCACUUAAUUUGCUUUUCCACAUUUGAGUAUGAUUUCAUCUGUUUUCUAGCUAAUAUAAACUGUAGAAGUUUAUUAUCCAUUUCAUCUGUUUCUAUAGCUUGAAGCUAGCAUGAGGAAGCUGAAUAAUGAAUAUAUUAUCCAGGUCAUAAAAUAGUGACAGUAUAAUGGGGUCGAUGUUAAUAUAUGUAUUGUUGUUUUUAUGUGAUCGUUGUAUGCUAAUAUUUUAUCACACGUCAAUAUUUCAUUUUAUAUUUGGACCAAUAGGCAUGAGUUCAUGAUUUUCUAUUUAUACUAUUUUAGUAUAAAUAAGACACUUUUUUAUUUAGUAGAUUCUGCACACCUUUUUAUUUGAGAGAUUCUGCACUUAAUUUCAUUUUCCUAUUUCUUGAUUCUAUAUUAAUGUUUUUAUUUUGAGGAGUAUAGACAUCAAAGAAGCUGAUAUUUUACUUGUUCAAUUGUGCAGAACCCACCCAACUGGCAGAAAAUUCUUACAUACUUCCAUGGGUCUGAACUUUAGAACUACUUCACAUGCAUAUUGGGAGAUAACCUGAAGGUCAUGUUUUUGCACUUCGGUUUCUCUGUUUGUACUUCAUGCAGAGUGUGUUAGCAUGUAGUCUGUAAUUGCUAGAACGCGAUUUCUUGUUGACUGGCACUAUGCUCUGGCUUUUUUCAUAUGCUCUCUUUAGUCUUGCCUGUUUGCUAUCCCUACAACAUGUGCAAUGAUUUACAUAUUUUUACAAUGUUUGUAUUACAUCUAAAGUUGCAAGCAAUAGAUGAUUACAACACUAUAAAGAUAAGAAUGGUUGUCGCUUCAUAAAUUUGACAAGUCAUACAUAUUUGCGCUAAGACUGUUACUAAUGGAUCUACUUGCUAGAAUAGAAAGGGAGACAACCAUUGUUGCAACUACUUCACCCUCUUUGAUCAAGUUAUCUUUCUCUAGAUGAUCUUAAAUUAUUUUAUGUAACCUUCCAUCUCAAAUUAUUUUCUGCAAAGUUUCUACGUACAUAGUUUUUUUGCUUUUGCUUUGUACCCAGAAAAGUCAAAAGACUUAUACUUUGAAAUAAAGGAAGGAGAAUAAUAUUUUAUUGUUAAAAGUACUUGCCUUGCAAACUGAAUGAACCAUGUUUCUUCGCUUCAAAAUGAGUGCAAAUUGAAGUAACUCCACCAGGUCAUUUCCUUAGCGCUGACGUGAGCUACAAUGCCUGCUGUAAUGUUGCUUGUGUUUGGUGUUUCUUGCGAUGCCCACGAGCUGUAUUUUAGCCUUAGGUGGUGCUUUGGCUAACAUUGUAGAGUUCCAGAAAAUUGCAGAGGUGGUAGGUGAUUGGUACUUCGAAAGAGGAGCUGCCGUGGAGAUUGAUUGCGCCUAUCCCUGUGAUUCAACUUGUUGCAACCUUAUACCAAUUGAUAAGGUUAGUUGCUUCCGUGAAAAGAGGUUAACUGUUUUGGCAAAAUAAAUCUACUGGUUAGUAACACUUCAGCCAAAAAUGGAACUGAAAAAAAUCAUCAUUUGACAUAGGAACUGAGGAUUUAUUAGGAGUUCGGCAGACGAUUAUACUCAACUAGGAGUUCCCUGUAUCUACCAAAUCCUGCAUCUAUAUUGGGUUAUUAGCAAAUGGUUUCUCUUAAAAAGACUUGGAACAUUUUUUUGUUAGGUUUGCUUGGAAAUGCUGAGCUUUGCUAAUUACUCUGGAGACGCUGAUAGCAAAAUUGUUCGAGAAGUUUGGGCUAGACUCCUUGAUCAGGCACUUACUAAAGGGGGUGUUGCAGAAGCUUGUUCUGUUGUGAAAAGAGUAGGCUCGAAACUUGAUCCUGCAAAUGGAGCUUGUUUACCUUUAGAUAUUAUAUGCCUUCACCUUGAGAAGGCUGCAGUGGUAAUGUGUAUUUUCUGUACUUUCUGUACAUGCAUACUUGAGACUACCUGUGAGAGCAUUCCACUUUGGUACUCAUUAUCAUGCUCUUAUCUACAGGAUAGAUUAAGUUCAGGAGAAGAAUUAGUUGGUGAUGAUGAUGUUGCAAGAGCUCUUCUUGGUGCCUGUAAAGGUCUUCCUGGACCUGUACUUGUUGUGUAUGAUCACCUGUUAUCGAACGGUGCAAUCAUACCCUCACUAAAUCUGAAGUUGCGCCUGCUGCGAUCAGUUCUAGCAAUCCUCCGUGAGUGGGGGAUAUCUGUCAUUGCACACAGGCUAGGCACCACAAGUGCUGGGGCUUCAUUCUUUCUUGAUGGAACAUUCUCAUUGAACCAAACAGGGACUGCGAAUCAAGGUGCUCGAGAUAAAAUAAUUAGUUUGGCGAACAGGUAAGUCUAUACAUUAAUGACACCUAUGUUUACGAUUCUCUUUUAUCUGGACUAUUUCAUACAAAUGUAUUUUUAUCAAUUGUUUGAACGUUGUUAAUUUCUUAAAAAACCAUUACAUUAUUCCACUACUUGGCUGUUAAAUUCUUAAAAAAAUCAUUGCAUUAUUCCACUACUUGACCUGCUUUUAUUUU